rnacentral:rRNA from 1 species
CCUACGGGGGGCAGCAGUCGAGAAUCAUUCACAAUGGGGGAAACCCUGAUGGUGCGACGCCGCGUGGGGGAAUGAAGGUCUUCGGAUUGUAAACUCCUGUCAUGUGGGAGCAAAUUAAAAAGAUAGUACCACAAGAGGAAGAGACGGCCAACUCUGUGACAGCAGCCGCGGUAAUACAGAGGUCCCAAGCGUUGUUCGGAAUCACUGGGCGUAAAGCGUGCGUAGGCUGUUUCGUAAGUCGUGUGUGAAAGGCACGGGCUCAACCCGCGGGCGGCACAUGAUACUGCGAGACUAGAGUGAAGGAGAGGGAACCGGAAUUCUCGGUGUAGCAGUGAAAUGCGUAGAGAUCGGGAGGAACACUAGUGGCGAAGGCGAGUUCCUGGACAUUAACUGACGCUGAGGCGCGAAGGCCAGGGGAGCGAAAGGGAUUAGAUACCCGAGUAGUC